ensembl:lncRNA
GAGUAAUAACAUGUUCAAAUACUUAAUUCAUUGGCUCGAAUCUAGGUUGUGUCUUUAGAUUUCGAGAAAAUGUACAACUAAGGAAUAAUUUUUCACUUCUGACUUCUCAAACCCCAAAUCACGGCAUCGGUCGACUUCCUACAGUCUUCUUCCCAGCGGUCCCGGUCGACUCGGGAUGUUGCGUCUGGGUUUAGGAAUUCUGGUUAUGUCAUUUCCUCAUGAAGUUGAAAGUAAGUUUGCAGGCGAAUGCACUUACAAAAUGGAUGUUGAAACUGUGGCGCACAUUUCUCGGCAACAUUAGAAGUCUGGUAAAAGUAUUGAUUUGAAGGAAAGACGAGCAGAUUCUGGUAAGUCUAGAGGCAACAUACAAACUAUUAUAAAGUUAGGUCGUCAUCAGACAUUUAAUAGUCAAGAUUAGGUUUGAUCUAUGAUCACUGAUCAUCAUGUGUGUAGUGCGAGGGAGAACUUUCACUUUGAGAAUACACGAAUAAAAUAUUCUGAUCAAUUCUAAAUAAAUUAUAUUUAAUGACCAGGUGAAUGGUAACGUUACUGUUACAACAAAUAUACAUUUCUAAUAAGAUUUUAGGACGGUUAGCUGAAGCUGAAUAGUAAAAAAAUUGGAGGAUGGAUUUUAUCCAUCUUCUAAAACAGGGCUCUCCGAUCCUGUUCCUGGAGAGAUACCAUCCUGUAGGUUUUCAUUACUAUUCAAAACUAGCAGUCCUGAUUAAAAUAAUGAGUUGGUUUAUAAGAUAAAUCAUGCUAUUUACAACUGGGGUUGGAGAGAAACCCUACCGGAGGGUAGCGCUCCAGAAACAGGGUUGGAGAGAAACCCUACCGGAGGGUAGCGCUCCAGAAACAGGGUUGGAGAGACCUGUAAUGAUAGACUAUAUUCAAUAGACUACAUCUGUCGGUACAAACUUUGAUUGAAUAAAUUAUGACGUCAUUUACAUAGUUUGCUGCGCUCCCUCACCUAAAAAAAAUACAUCACUGCUUAUCAUGCCGACCGACCUGAUGGCCUCCGUUGAAAAUGUUGUAAAAAAUAUCAGGCCGAGGCUACAUUCUCUGUCCUGCUACUGGUAGGACUAUAACAUUAUGUGAACUGACCUGAACAGGUUUAGGCUGGUCAUCUAUGAUAUGUAGGUUAUAUACAGUACAUUCUCUGUCCUGCUACUGGUAGGACUAUAACAUUAUGUGAACUGACCUGAACAGGUUUAGACUGGUCAUCUAUGAUAUGUAGGCUAUAGCUGAGGUAUAGAAAG